UACGUAGGGUGCAGGCGUUAAUCGGAAUUACUGGGCGUAAAGCGUGCGCAGGCGGUUUGCUAAGACAGGUGUGAAAUCCCCGGGCUUAACCUGGGAACUGCGCUUGUUACUGGCAGGCUUGAGUGUGGCAGAGGGGGGUGGAAUUCCACGUGUAGCAGUGAAAUGCGUAGAUAUGCGGAGGAACACCGAUGGCGAAGGCAAUCCCCUGGGCCUGUACUGACGCUCAUGCACGAAAGCGUGGGGAGCAAACAGG
rnacentral:rRNA from 1 species